GACGAACGCUGGCGGCGUGCCUAAUACAUGCAAGUAGAACGCUGAAGAGAGGAGCUUGCUCUUCUUGGAUGAGUUGCGAACGGGUGAGUAACGCGUAGGUAACCUGCCUGGUAGCGGGGGAUAACUAUUGGAAACGAUAGCUAAUACCGCAUAAUAGUAGAUGUUGCAUGACAUUUGCUUAAAAGGUGCAAUUGCAUCACUACCAGAUGGACCUGCGUUGUAUUAGCUAGUUGGUGAGGUAACGGCUCACCAAGGCAACGAUACAUAGCCGACCUGAGAGGGUGAUCGGCCACACUGGGACUGAGACACGGCCCAGACUCCUACGGGAGGCAGCAGUAGGGAAUCUUCGGCAAUGGACGGAAGUCUGACCGAGCAACGCCGCGUGAGUGAAGAAGGUUUUCGGAUCGUAAAGCUCUGUUGUAAGAGAAGAACGAGUGUGAGAGUGGAAAGUUCACACUGUGACGGUAUCUUACCAGAAAGGGACGGCUAACUACGUG
rnacentral:rRNA from 1 species